rnacentral:rRNA from 1 species
UACAGAGGGGGCAAGCGUUGUUCGGAAUUAUUGGGCGUAAAGAGCUCGUAGGCGGUUUGUCGCGUCUGCCGUGAAAGUCCGGGGCUCAACUCCGGAUCUGCGGUGGGUACGGGCAGACUAGAGUGAUGUAGGGGAGACUGGAAUUCCUGGUGUAGCGGUGAAAUGCGUAGAUAUCUGGAGGAAUACCGGUGGCGAAGGCGGCAUCCUGGACCGGCAUUGACGCUGAGGAGCGAAAGCCAGGGGAGCAAACGGG